AUGUGGCGGUAUAGUUGGGUUUUCCAAGUCCAAACCAAUCUCGGAAGCCAUGGUUGCACUUCAACCGCUGAACUUGAAGAACUGGAAAGUGUUACCACUUGCCCCGUGCGCGUGGCCAUCCACGAGUCCAGUGCUGAGUAGAUGUAGUUGUGGCAAUGGCACGGUGAAGAUGCAAAAAUCUUCCUCCUCCAAAAACCGCAGAAAAUCAUCAUACGGAACCUCUAGAAGAUCAAUUCUCAAGAAAUCCUUCAAUCAAGAGCAAGUCACCUUCACUUCUCCUCUCUCCGAUGACCCCAACGUUGCCAUCAUCGGCGGCGGCAUCGCCGGCAUCAUUUGCGCCAUCUUUUUAGACAAACGCGGUGUUCGCUCCACCCUAUUCGACACCGGUAUUCAUGGUCUAGGAGGACGAAUGGGAACCAGGGUUAUCGAUCCUCAUCCCUUAAUAUUCGACCAUGCGGCUCAGUUCUUUACAGUGAACGAUUCUCGCUUUGCUGAACUCUUCAAUGCUUGGAUGGACAAGGGUUUGGUCCUCGAGUGGAAGGGUACCAUUGGAGAGCUUCACAGUGGUGGUAACUUUGUUCCGUUUCUACCCUCUCCUCCAAAAUAUAUAGCCACUAAUGGAAUGCGCUUUCUUGCUGAUUCCUUGCUCUCUGAGACUCGCAUGGUUAAUGUGGUGAGACCAUGCUGGAUCAGUAAACUGGAGCCCUUCAAUGGAAUGUGGCACUUGAGUGAAAAUGGAAAGCCUUGUGGCAAGUUCGAUGCAAUUGUUAUUGCACACAAUGGAAAAUGUGCAAAUCGCUUGCUUAUGACGUCUGGUUUACCACUGAUUGCAAAACAAAUGAAGAGGUUGGAGCUGAGUUCAAUAUGGGCCCUUCUGGCAGCAUUUGAGGAUCCUCUUCCUUUUCCAGGCAGCACAGAAGUUCCUUUUGAAGGAGCUUUUGUGAGAGGAAUUGAUUCAGUGUCAUGGAUGGCCAAUAAUACCAAGAAGCUACUGACUUCCCAGAAUGGUAGCCCACACUGUUGGACCUUUCUGAGCACUGCUGCUUAUGGAAAACAGAACAAGGUUCCACAGGAAAACAUCCCUACUGCUACAGCAGCAAAGGUAAACGAUGGCAUGCUAGAGGGUAUUGAGGCUGCCCUUGGAUUAUCAAAAGGGUCACUUCCAAAACCUUUUUAUACCAGACUCCAACUAUGUAGGCACAAUAUGCUACAUGGGAAGGGGUACAGAAAAAAUGUGAUGUCAUUGACCACAACGUGACUUCUCAAAUGGUUCAGUUGCCUGAUAGUCAAAAUGUUAAUUGCACAUGCUCCCUCAGUAGCAUUUCUUGUGUGGUUGUUCUCAGCCACUGCUCAAGCCUCAACAAACCAGAUGGGAUAAUAUUUAAAUAAUCUCAGUAUUUUAAAGAUAAUAUUGGUUGCUCUAGACCAUUGUAUGUAAACUUAAUUCAUUGAAAAUUAUUAUUAUCUUAUUCUGACAUUUACAGGGGUGCAGCUCUUCCAACUAAUACACCUGGAAUUCCUUGCAUCUUUGAUCCCUUUGGAAGGGCUGGGAUAUGUGGUGAUUGGCUACUAGGUUCUAAUAUAGAGGCGGCAGUUUUAAGUGGAAUGGCUCUCGCUAACCAUAUUGCAGACUAUUUCCAAAGCCCUGAAAUUGACCGUGCAGAGUUUGCUGUUGGUUUAAAUCAGGAGUUUCAACCACUGGAAGGUCAUGAUAUUGGACAAUUCCCUGGUUUGGAGUCAGAAAUAAAGAUGAAUGAAGACCAAGCAUACGAACUUGCUAAGUAGGCCAUGGUGCUCAGGAAUGUCUCUCCUUUGGCAACGGAAAAUUGAUUUCAUAUCCAUGCAAAGGAAAUCUCCCCAAAAGCAACGUCAAUACGUCAUGGUCAACUGAAGAUUUUGCUUGAAAUUGGAACUCUCCUUUGGGGCAAUAGGGGCCUUGGCUCCCUCAACAGCCACAUGAUGACAUGAAACAACACACAUGUAAUUUACAUGUCUUUUUCUUAAGAGAUAGUGGCAUUAUUGUUUUGUUGGGAACGAAUUAAAUUGUGUCCCUGAAAUUAUUACAACAUCCUUUUUCUCAUAUGCAGAACAAGUAUUUUCCUUUUCAAAUU